rnacentral:lncRNA from 1 species
UAAGGCUAUCGAGUAGCCACACUCGCUCGUUUCCCUUAUCAGAAGGGGACUCUUCAGGCAAAUGUACCCUAACUAGCAUGAGAUGCAAGACCUAAAGUGAGGGGAAAGGGGAAUCGAGGAGCAUGCCAGAUGAUAAAACUAAGGAAAAAUGCAUGAUAUGUAGUGAACAGGCAAAUAAUGCAUUAAUGAAAAACAAAGGAAAUAUCCUAUUGGGUCUAGCGUUGGACUAGCCCUUUCUAUGAAUUCCUACUAGCAUUAGACUAGUGGAAACAAUAAAAGAAGCCACAACUAGCGUUGGACUAGUGUGGUGACGUACAUUCAUCCAUUCCAUUCAUCCACACUAUGGAAAGCGAGUAGACAUGUCCAACACUUAUAAACACGUAGCACAUAACACUUAGCAUGCUCGACUAGAUGCAAGAGCCUAAUAAAGCAAUUAAACAUGUAGCAACAAGAACAAGCGACCAAGGGGAAGGGGGAAGUGGACCAGAUGUUCUCCGAGCCCUAUCUAUUACAAGCCAAGAGGUGUACACAUACCCCAUAAAAGCAUAAAAGGGGAAAGGGAAAUGGACAAGAUGCUCUCCGAGCCCUAUCUAUUACAAGCCAAGAGGUGUACACAUACCCCAUAAAACUUAAAUAAAAGUAAAAGUAAGUAAAUGCACGCAAGGAGGUAAGGAAAGCAACGUAGACAUGCAUAUUCACAUAACACGUAGGAGCACGUAAGGUCAAAUGUAGUGCAAAUGAGGGAUAGAGUGUACCUCCCUUGAAAUUGGGCCCCAAUGAAGUAAAAUCACUUAUUUAUCCUCCAAAAUAAAAGAAAUGGUCAAGGUACCAAUUUAUUUGCCAAAAAUUAAAAAAAAUAGGCAAACACAAGCUCACAUGGUCAUAAAGCUCUUAAAUUCAUGCAUGAAGUGCAAUUUAAACAAAGCAUGGUAGUUAAUUGAAACAAAACAAGCCAUGAAGUGGUAGAGUUAAAACCUCCAAGGACCAGAUUGAAGAAAUUAUUCAAUUGGUUGGGUCAUAGCGGCAUUAGUUAGAAACCAAGGGGUCAAAGUGCAAUUUUCAGAAUUAUUUUGCAUGCAUGCAGACUAACGUAAGAUAACAUUCUUCAACAAGAAACAAGCAAUUACUGCACUUUCUGUUUGCAAAUUCAUGUCCCCAGGCAACUUUUGAUCAAACUUUCUCAAACAAAACCAAAACUCUAAACUAAACCACCAAGUACAUAACUUCAACAUCUAAAAAUAGACUAAAACAAAAAACUUGGCAAGUGAUUAUAUAAGUGCUGGAAAAUUUUCAUGCGCAAACCUCUUUCAAUUUCGGCAAAACAGAAAAUCUGCCCAUAACUUUCUUUCAAAAUAAAAAAAAAAACAGGUUUCGAACAUAAACUUGGGACUUCAGCACACCUUCUUUAACCAAACCUUUCACCUAAACACUUCUCCAAAAAAAAUUCAAAUAACAAACAGACUAAGUAAUUUAAACACUCAAAAGAUUUCAGCAUGCCGAAUGUAAAGCCUGCUGCAUUUCUGGUUGCUAAAUAUCUGCCAAAACCUCUCAUCAAUUACCCAAACAGCUCAAACAAAUUCCCAGCUCAAUAUUGAUUAGUUUCCAUAAGACCGACAUCACAUACAGCAGCUAAUCAUGCUAAACGAAAAAAGUCAAAACAGAGAAAAGCCACAAUCUCAAAUUUGUUGCCGCAAUUCUGCAGCUUAUAUCGUGCAACUGUGUCCGUGCAGGAAAUCUAAUCAGACUUGCAAUAUCACCACCCUCAAACUCACAUAACCUUCAUUCAUCGAUCAACUAAACUGAUCUAGGCAAAGAAAGUAAGAAAGAACAAGGCGUAUGACCAGAAAAUUUUGACAGCUUUUUGCACAAGGAGCUUCGCAACAAAAUAUGUAGUUUUCAAAGAACUUAUUUGAUUACUUGCUGGUUUCUGGUGCUGCGACUCUUUGUGUUUUCCCCCCCCAAAAAUCCAGAAGCAAAAGAUGCAAACUUUGGCUAUUUUCAGCAGCUUUUAUCCGAUGUAAUAAACCCAAUGAAUCAACAAACCCACAAAACUCUAGAGUUCAAACUCACUGCCUAACAAAAUUUGGAGAUACACACUCCGCAGGCCAGAUUGAAGCAGGUAGAGACAACGACAAAAAAUAACAAAACAGAAAACCAAAGGCAAGAUUCCAACUCAGUCACGAAAGAACUUGGAAAGGCUAAGGAAACCAGUUUUAGGAAGAUACCUGAAAUUCUUUCUUUUUUGAUUGAUGGAGAGAAAGUGAAAGCUUCGGUCUUUCCUCUUGCUCUGGUGGUUUCCUUUGCUGGUUUUUUGGUUUUCCGUCGUCACUGGGAUGCUCUGCUUCCUUUGUCCGACCGUCCUCUUCUCUGAUUUGUUCAACCGUCACCUUUCCUUUGGUUUCUUUCUUCCCAGCCUUCAACCGUCAAAGCUCUCUCCUUUUUCUUUCUUUUGUUGCCUUCUAAACCUCCCCGUUGAUCCCUCACUCUCUCUUCGUAGCCCUCUGCCCAGUUUUCAGCCGUCAAUCCUUUAUCCCCCUAAAAAAAACCUCUGUUGCGGCUACCUUUCUUCCCUUUUAUAUCUACUUCCCGAUCUCCUAAAACCCUCAUCUCAACGAUGAGGAUGAGGGCUUGUUACCCCUGUGAAAUCCAACCCUCCAAUUGUCUCUUACGAAUGUCCUUUGCACGCUGCAAAAAAUUGCAGCGUGCAUGCCGCGACAAGCUUUUUUUUUUUUUUUUUUUUUUUCAGAAUUACAGGAAAAGAUGAAAUAAAAUAAUAAAUAACAAAAAUACACAAACCAGGCAAUAAUAAUAAUAACAAAACAAACAAAAAAUAAUUUUAAACAAAACUAACAACAAUGGUCAUUUUUAAUUUUUAAUUUUGUAUUUUUCAUCAUUUUCUUUUUCUCAAAAUAACUUAAUAAAAAUAACUAAUGUGCCCAAAGAUUGAAUUUAAAAAAAAAUAAACAUAUUUUUGUGAACAAAUUUUCCUUUUUCCACUUUCAAGAAAUUCUAUGCUAAAAACUUAAAAAUAAAAAAAAACUAAAAUCGAAUAAAACGAACACGACAAAUAAAAAACUAAAAAUGAAAUUACACCAAAAAUUUGGUGUCUACAGUUUGCCCCUCUUUGUCUGAGUUUUGAAAAAACUUGAGACAAAGAAAUAGACACCAAAUACUUACCUGUGUUAUUGGGCUGCAAAAGAUUCCAACGAACAGGAAUUCUAAAAUGGGACUGACCCGAACAUGAAUCUAAAAUUGGGGAUAGACCCACGGGAUAGACCCGGGCAGAAAUGUAAAAUUGGGAUGGACCCACGGGAUAGAUCCGAACAGAAAUUUAAAAUUGGGAUAGACCCACGGGAUAGACCCGGACAGAAAUUUAAAAUUGGGAUGGACCCACGGGAUGGACCCACGGGAUAGACCCGAACAGAAAUUUAAAAUUGGGAUGGAACCACGGGAUAGACCCGGACUAAAAUUUAAAAUUGGGAUGGACCCACGGGAUAGACCCGGACAGAAAUUUAAAAUUGGGAUGGACCCACGGGGGGGGGGGGGGCGGAUAGACGCCGAACAGAAAUUAAAAUUGGAUGGAACCCCACGGAUAACCAGGAAUAAAAUUUAAAUGGGAAAUGGACCACACGGAUAGACCCGGACUUAAAAUUUUAAAAUUGGGAUGGACCCACGGGCAUAGACCCGACAGAAAUGUAAAUAUUGGGAUAGACCCACGGAUAGACGCGAGCUGAAGUUUAAAUUGGGAUAGACCCACGGGAUAGACCCGAACUAAAAUUUAAAAUUGGGAUAGACCCACGGGAUAGACCCGGACUAAAAUUUAAAAUUGGGAUGGACCCACGGGAUAGACCCGGACUAAAAUUUAAAAUUGGGAUAGAUCCACGGGAUAGACCCGGACAGAAAUGUAAAAUUGGGAUAGACCCAUCACGGAUACGACCCGGACUGAAGUUUAAAUUGGGAUAGACCCACGGGAUAGACCCGGACAGAAAUUUAAAAUUGGGAUAGACCCACGGGAUAGACCCGAACAGAAAUUUAAAAUUGGGAUGGGCCCACGGGAUAGACCCGAACAGAAAUUUAAAAUUGGGAUGGACCCACGGGAUAGACCCGGACUGAAGUUUAAAUUGGGAUAGACCCACGGGAUAGACCCGAACAGAAAUUUAAAAUUGGGAUGGACCCACGGGAUAGACCCGGACUAAAAUUUAAAAUUGGGAUGGACCCACGGGAUAGACUCGGACUAAAAUUUAAAAUUGGGAUGGACCUACGGGAUAGACCCGGACAGAAAUGUAAAAUUGGGAUAGACCCACGGGAUAGACCCGAACUAAAAUUUAAAAUUGGGAUAGACCCACGGGAUAGACCCGGACUAAAAUUUAAAAUUGGGAUGUACCCACGGGAUAGACCCGGACCAAAAUUUAAAAUUGGGAUAGACCCACGGGAUAGACCCGGACAGAAAUGUAAAAUUGGGAUAGACCCACGGGAUAGACCCGGACUGAAGUUUAAAUUGGGAUAGACCCACGGAUAACCCGGACAGAAAUUUAAAAUUGGGAUAGACCCACGGGAUAGACCCGGACUAAAAUUUAAAAUUGGGAUAGACCCACGGGAUAGACCCGGACAGAAAUUUAAAAUUGGGAUAGACCCACGGGAUAGACCCGGACAGAAAUUUAAAAUUGGGAUAGACCCACGGGAUAGACCCGGACUGAAGUUUAAAUUGGGAUAGACCCACGGGAUAGACCCGGACAGAAAUUUAAAAUUGGGAUGGGCCCACGGGAUAGACCCGAACAGAAAUUUAAAAUUGGGAUGGACCCACGGGAUAGACCCGAACAGAAAUUUAAAAUUGGGAUGAACCCACGGGAUAGACCCGGACUAAAAUUUAAAAUUGGGAUGGACCCACGGGAUAGACCCGGACAGAAAUUUAAAAUUGGGAUGGACCCACGGGAUAGACCCGAACAGAAAUUUAAAAUUGGGAUGGACCCACGGGAUAGACCCGGACUAAAAUUUAAAAUUGGGAUGGACCCACGGGAUAGACCCGGACUAAAAUUUAAAAUUGGGAUGGACCCACGGGAUAGACCCGGACAGAAAUGUAAAAUUGGGAUAGACCCACGGGAUAGACCCGGACUGAAGUUUAAAUUGGGAUAGACCCACGGGAUAGACCCGGACAGAAAUUUUAAAUUGGGAUAGACCCACGGGAUAGACCCGGACGGGAUAGACCCGGACAGAAAUUUAAAAUUGGGAUAGACCCACGGGAUAGACCCGGACAGAAAUUUAAAACUGGGAUAGACCCACGGGAUAGACCCGGACAGAAAUUUAAAAUUGGGAUAGACCCGGACAGAAAUUAAAAUUGGGAUAGACCCACGGGAUAGACCCGGACAGAAAUGUAAAAUUGGGAUAGACCCACGGGAUAGACCCGGACAGAAAUUUAAAUUGGAUUUGAUCUGUCAAGAUAUAAGAAAUUAAAUUUUGAUUUUCCAAGAAACAAAAAUUUGAACUUGAUUUUCGAUUUUUGACUUUUGAAUUUUUCUGAUUUUUCGAGAGAAUCUUUUUCCAAAAAUAAUUUGCCCCAGUGUAGGGCCCUUUUCCCUUCUUUCUUCUCUUUCUUCGGCAUCGGCCUUCUACAUCGCCAGAUGCUUUUCGUCGACUUCAACUGUGAAUACCUGCACAGGGCUUACGUGCACUCAAAUGAGCGUGACUGAUUUGAAAAAUGCAUUAUUUUGAUUCUUGGACGAAAUCCUCAAUUGGACUACAAAAAUAUUUGCCCCUGUGUGGGCUUAUUUUGCAAAAUUUUGCAAAUAAAAAUUUUGCCCCAGUUUGGGCCCAUUUGAUUGCAAAAAUUGGUUUAGAUGAUUUCCCAUUUACUUGAACAAAGAAAAACCGCACUUUCUAAAAUUUAGAAAAGAGUGCACAUACAACAAUGUGAAGAAACUUUAAUCGUCAAGUUUGAACUCAUGCAGAAAUUUCAUGAUGAAUUCCUCAAAAUAAUGCCAAAUUACAAGAUAUUUCUUCCUUACCUUAGCAUCGAAGCUUUGGGUAAUGGGCGUUAUUUCUGACUUGGAAAUGGGAGGCCAAGAUUUGUCUUAUUUUGUGCUCAUUCGAUAUCACGUCUUCAUGAAAGCAAAAUAGUUUGUCACCCUUAUUUUCCAAGAAAACUUAGUCAACAUACAAGCUUGAUAGGCUUGCAAUAAAAUGGGUAGAAACGAUAGCUAAACCUGUGAAAACUGGUUAUACUCCCAUGAUAACAAAUGAUUGAUGGCUUACGAGCAUAAUCGCCACUUUGGAUUGUCAUGAAGGAAUAAGUCAACGAUGGACUUUAUCAGCUUGUAAUUUGGCUUGAAAACGAUAGCUAAAGAAAGAAAUAAUUUUCAAGGACAUUGCACCGAAGAUCGCAUUUUUCUCAAAAUUACCCUCAAUUUGGACUCCAAGAUCUUGGACUUUGUUCGACUUUUUGUCAUCACUCAACAGGGUCUUUCGGCAUCAAAUCUCUUUUUUUUUUUUUCUUUUUCUUUUACAUUUCUUUUGCAUUCAUUUCGCUCGUUUUUCUCUUCUUUUUCCCCCUUUUCAAAAAUACCCUCGCGGGGUUUCACAUGAAGAGCAGUGUCAACCUCACACCUAAUCAAUUCAGAAAUACAGCUAAAAUUUUCGACAUCAGAGAUUUCCUUGACAAAGCCAGUGCAAAGAACAGAAGUCAGGACUUUCGGCUUUGUAAUGGGGUCAGGUGGGGUGCUUAGAAAAGUUAAGGCUUGAAAACGGAUUUCAGAACUGGUUUGAAGAAUCUGAGAUCGCAUUGUUGCGCCAACCCUAUUUUAGGGUAAAAUCAGAAUUUGCCUCAGUUUUUGCUCAAUUGAGGCUUUUUCUCUUUCAUUUUCUUUCUUUUUGAUUUUUUUUGGCCUUCGGCCAUUUUUGAAAUUUGCCCCAAUUUAUUUGUGGACUGAGGUUCUCUUUUCUUCUUUUGCCUUUUGAUUUUGUGGCUUUUCACUUUUUCACUUUUUGAAACUUUUCCUUUUUUCAACUCAAACUUGCCCCAGUGUGGGGUUUGCGAUUCUCAGGGGUUGCCAAACGAAAUAUUUUAUUCUGAAGGCUCAAAAAGGAUAACUAGGGAUAGAAUGCUUGAUUGGAAAAGAAGAGGGCCUGACUUUAAUUCCGUUCCCUACAUUAACUCUGAAAAGAAACUUUCAUUAAUGCGAAAUUUCUUGCAUGUAUCUGAAUUAAUUGACUGAGGAAGACCCUUGCUCAUCCAUAUUUGUGAAACAUAAGCGAUUCACAUGGACAAAACCCUUCCUUUUCUUUUUUCAACAUUGGAACCCAAGUGGAAUCAAAUUUCCAAUUUGCGGUUCUCUCCCUUUUAGCCUUAGCAUUUUGGCUUUUCUCUCUCUUUUGGAAAAUUCUCCAAUCUUCUUCCCCAGUGUGGGGGCGAUCAUAAGUGCUUUGAAAAGAACCAGUAAUUUUGGCUCAAAUGAGGAUGCAAGGGGUGAUCAGUGUUUAGGUUGUAGAAACGACGGCCAAAGCAUCAUUCUUACACUUCAUGACAACCAAAGUAACGAAACGGUUAUUGAAAAUCCAUUCCCCUAUUUGAUAUUUGAAAAUUUUCCAAUAUAGGGUGGUGAUCAUUAGGGCUCUUAUUUGAAACGAAAUUAUUCUUUCAUAGGCUCAAAUGGGAGAGCAAGUGAUAAAAAUCUGUAUAGGUAGUGAAACAAAUGCUCAAAGUAUCAUUCCAAAUUUUCAAAACGAACAAGAAUAAUGCACAUUUUUGCUUUCACUUAGAUGUGAAUUGAAUCCGGUUAAACCAAUGGGGAUUUUUCCAAGCAAAGAUUGUCCCAAUUUGCAAUUUAUCAAUCAAUGUGACUGAUUUUAUUUUGGAAUUAAGGGAAGGAGAAAGGUAUCUCAUAGGGCCUUUUGAGUGACCGUUCACUCUCUUUCUUUCUGAGCACUCUUAUUGGAUGACUCGGAUCAACAAUCUGGUGUACAUAAGGAUUUUUGAAAGCAGACCCUUGUGAUCAUGAAGCUUUUCAAUUUGGUCUUACUUCUUAAAAUUCGUCACGAAAUCUCCAAUGAAUAAGAAUAAAGAAUGAAAUGUACAUAAAUAUGCACAAAACAAUGAUUGUCCAAAAAGUUUAUUACUGAAAAAGUUUGAAACAAAAUUUCUCAUUCAAUUACAAUACAAAUGAGAAGAGAGAAACUUGUAAAGAGCUCCACAUAUACACUUUUUGUCUCCUUUUCUUUUUGGAACAAAAUGUAUUAACAAAUCAAAUAUAGAAAAUUUUCCUUUGGAAAACAAUCACAACAUCUCUCAGAGGCUUUAGCGUAGAGCUUCCAGAUAGAUCAUUUAUGUUUUCAUCGUAGGAUCUGCCCAAGAAUCAAAUAACACUUGUACUCUUCAAACUUUAUUGGAUUAAAAUUAUCAUCAGAUAUAGAAGAAUAUUUUCAUCUUAUUGAAACAUUUUUAUGAAUGCAGGGGAGGGGGAAACAAAAGAAAAAUACCCCGAGUUAGUAGGCAAAACUGCAAAAUCGGUAUGCAUGUCCUAUGGGGGGAACCCUUUUUAUGCCAAGGGUAGGCCUAGCAUGAAAAUGCAAUCCGCUAGAAUAGGCACUAUACAAUACCUGAUGGAUCCGAUCAACUCAUGGAGUGAAAAUAAUUUUGAAAAAUUUGGCCCAUUGGAAUAAGAAGAGACGUUUGUCAAAAUGAGGACCUCGUCCGAAGGGAUUGAUUACCUUUGAUUUGCAAAACGCAUGGGUUUGACCUUGACGAACUUCCUAUUCAAAGAGAUUGGAAUUUGUUGAUAAAAUUUCUCAGUGAAUUACGGGUCAAAACCCCAAUUGAUCAAGUGAUUGGAUGCAAUGGACGGUUUUCUUCAAAAUUGACUAGAUUUCCCAAUUUGGAAUUUGACAAUGAAACCCCAAUAGGGCAAAUGGAUUGAAUGAAGUUGACAAUUUAUUUAAAAUCGACCAAAUUACCCUAAAAAGGGAAACAGGUCAAAUGAAUUGAAUGAAAUUUAUCCGAAAUUAAUCAGAUCACCCUAAAAAGGGUAAAUUGAUCAAAUAGAUUGAACGAAACAUGAUUUAUUCAAAAUCGGCUCGGUCGCCCUAAAAAUGGGUAAAUUGGCCAAAUGAAUGAAAUUGAAUUUGAUUUAUUCAAAAAUCGGCCGAAUGACCCUAAAAAGGGUAAAUUGGUCAAAAGACCCUAAAAAGGGUAAUUUGGUCAAUUGAAUUGAUAAUUUAUUCAAAAACGAUCAGGCGACCCUAAAAAGGGUAAAUUGGUCAAAUGACCCUAAAAAGGGUAAUUUGGUCAAUUGAAUUGAUAAUUUAUUCAAAAAUCGACCGGAUGACCCUAAAAAGGGUACAUUGGUCAAAUGGAUUGGAUGAAAUGAAUUUAUUCAAAAAUGAUUAGAUUGAACUAAAAUUGAAUGAAUUGGAAAAAAAAUGGAUUGGAUAAGAUAGAUGAUUUGUUCAAAAAUCGAUUGAAUUAUUCGCCCCACUGGGUGGUUUCAAGAAAUCAUUACAAUGCCUUGGUCUAUGAGCUUCUAAAAUCAAAAUUUGGCCUCUAUAUUUAUCGUCUCAACAAUGAGGAAUCAUUUGUGAAUUUUCUUCGAAUUAACGUCCUUUUACGCAAGGGAAUUUUACCAAUUUUGAGAAAAUGGCCAAAAAGUGAUUAUUAGAUGCUCAUAUUCCAAAAAUUGCUUCAUGAAAAUGAUCGGAUCUUUACCUUACCUUGUGCACUACCCCUUCGGACGGUACGAGAAAGGUAAACGUGCAAGUCUCAUUUGGAUUAUAUAUCCGAGACAUGGGGUGGUUGAUUCCUAACACGGGAUCCCCUAAAUGGCAUUCCCUUUCUAGGGUUUAUGCAUGAUGCCAGUUUAUUAAAGCUAUGUAAAUAUGUGACAAACAUGAAAUGUGAGCUAAAGGACAUAAAUAAUGCAACGGGGGGAAAAGAUCUAAACAUGAAAUGUAUUUACUGAAAAGUAAGUGCAAAGACUGAAAUUUAGACAUGUGAGCUAUCUAGUGGGUGAGUCACUAAAAGAGUGCCAAAGAGGCCUCUUAUUGCUAAGGCACAUGAAUGCAAGCCAAGAAAACAAAAGAAAUGGUUAGUGCAGUUGAUAGUACACAUAACACAUUGGGAGCAAUUAAGAAAAGAAAUACGAUAAAAGCCAAUAAAAGGGGUGGAACCCCCUUCCCUCGUGCCUAAUUGUGCUUAAAAAGGUGAGGUUGACUCUAACCUAGGCAAACUCUAACAUGGAUGCAUGAGGUUGGGGCUCAUUAAUGCAACUAGACUCGAUAAGUCUCGGCUCCCAAGCCUUCAGACCUAAAGGCGAAGGGUCAUCACUCCCAGGGCCUUUGAUCGGUGGCUCGAGUGAUCCCUUAGGUAGCGCUAUGGGCGCAGAGCACACCAGCCGCCUACCCAAGGCAAUCGAUCCUAAUCCUACAAGGCGGUGUGGGAAACGCCCACGAAAAACAAAAUAAAAUGGGAUAAAAGCAAGUAAACGUGCACGUAUGAAGUGCUCCCCUAUUUUGAGGGAAGGGGUUGAGAACCAACGUGAGGCUCUAAAGGUGACACGCCCCCUCCCAAAUGCAAUGCAAGCGCUAGAUAAACAAGUAAACAACAUCCAAUCAACCAAUCACACAUACGUGAGUGAGGGAAUAGUUGGAUACGCGCGCGAGGCAAAUGGCCCUAAAAAUGGAAAAUGCAAGCCUAAUAUCCAAAUGCAAUGCAUAAAAAGGGUAGAAAAAGGAAACGAAUGGCUAAGUCAAAUGCUUGGACCCACUUAGGAAGUCCCCAGUGGAGUCGCCAACUGUCGCGCCCCACUUUUCGAUCUGAGUGUGAAUUGUGUGAGUGAUGUGUGUGUGAAGUGUGGUGUGAACGUGUGCAAAAUGAAAAGUAAAAAGGCCAUGGGACUUUGGAAAGCGACGAUUUGGCCAAAUGAAAUUUUAAAAAGGGUUUUUUAAAUAUGAAAACGGAGUCGCCACUUGGUAUAGAUUUGGGGUGUACCAAGUCACCCAAAAAGUGUUUUUUAAAGACAAAGUAGUAAAACCCUUUUUAAAACGACUCCUAGUCCACGUAAGCCAAAGAAAAAGGUUCGGGGGUCACGUUUGACAAAGGGGAAGGCAAGGAUAGAAUCCAAGGCACCCCUUUGACCUAGCCAAGGCUAGUUGCGCGACUUAAACCAAUUUUUCCUAGUUUUCUACCCAAUGUAUGUUCGCACGUUGGAUAUGACUAUAUGAAUGCAAAACGGAAAGAAAAAUGCAAUCCUAAAUUCUACGAUGUCUCUUGUGAGGCUUUUGGUCCCAAACCACAUGAAUUGUGGCGGCCAACAAAGGAACACCUCAUAGAGGUCGAUUAAUGCAAAUGAGACUCAAGUGUGCAAGUGUGAAAGUGUAUGAAAGAUGCAAGAAAUGUAAGUGCAAGUGUGCAAAAUUGUAUAAAGGUGCUUGUGUGAAAUUGUAAAAAAAAAUCCAAGUGUUUGUGUGCAGAUGUAUGAAAAGGUGCUCGUGUGAAAUUGUGUGAAAAAUCCAAGUGUUUGUGUGCAAGGGAAGGGAUAUGAAGGUGCAUGUGUGAAAGUAGGAGGAGAAAAUAAAAGUGUAAUGAGGGUAUAGAAUGAUAGAGUGAAUGUAGAAUGCAUGAGCCUAGGGAAUGCAAGCAAGACGGGUACGGGGGUUGACUCCUAACUUUCGACUUUGAUUUUCCCUUUGAUUAGAAGGGGGAACUAGCGUGCUAAGGCUAUCGAGUAGCCACACUCGCUCGUUUCCCUUAUCAGAAGGGGACUCUUCAGGCAAAUGUACCCUAACUAGCAUGAGAUGCAAGACCUAAAGUGAGGGGAAAGGGGAAUCGAGGAGCAUGCCAGAUGAUAAAACUAAGGAAAAAUGCAUGAUAUGUAGUGAACAGGCAAAUAAUGCAUUAAUGAAAAACAAAGGAAAUAUCGUAUUGGGUCUAGCGUUGGACUAGCCCUUUCUAUGAAUUCCUACUAGCAUUAGACUAGUGGAAACAAUAAAAGAAGCCACAACUAGCGUUGGACUAGUGUGGUGACGUACAUUCAUCCAUUCCAUUCAUCCACACUAUGGAAAGCGAGUAGACAUGUCCAACACUUAUAAACACGUAGCACAUAACACUUAGCAUGCUCGACUAGAUGCAAGAGCCUAAUAAAGCAAUUAAACAUGUAGCAACAAGAACAAGCGACCAAGGGGAAGGGGGAAGUGGACCAGAUGUUCUCCGAGCCCUAUCUAUUACAAGCCAAGAGGUGUACACAUACCCCAUAAAAGCAUAAAAGGGGAAAGGGAAAUGGACAAGAUGCUCUCCGAGCCCUAUCUAUUACAAGCCAAGAGGUGUACACAUACCCCAUAAAACUUAAAUAAAAGUAAAAGUAAGUAAAUGCACGCAAGGAGGUAAGGAAAGCAACGUAGACAUGCAUAUUCACAUAACACGUAGGAGCACGUAAGGUCAAAUGUAGUGCAAAUGAG